rnacentral:rRNA from 1 species
GAUGAACGCUGGCGGCGUGCUUAACACAUGCAAGUCGAACGGAAAGGCCACAGCUUGCUGUGGUACUCGAGUGGCGAACGGGUGAGUAACACGUGGGUGAUCUGCCCUGUACUUCGGGAUAAGCUUGGGAAACUGGGUCUAAUACCGGAUAGGAAUCACAUGUGGGUGUGUGGUUGGAAAGCUUUUGCGGUAUGGGAUGAGCUCGCGGCCUAUCAGCUUGUUGGUGGGGUAAUGGCCUACCAAGGCGUCGACGGGUAGCCGGCCUGGGGGGGUGUACGGCCACAUUGGGACUGGGGUACGGCCCAGACUCCUACGGGAGGCAGCGGUGGGGACUAUUGCACAAUGGGCGCAAGCCUGAUGCAGCGACGCCGGGUGGGGAAUGACGGCCUUCGGGUGGUAAACUCCUUUCGUCAGGAACGAAGCGAAAGUGACGGUACCUGGAUAAGAAGAACCGGCUAACUACGU